UUUCAUCGCCGGGAACAUGGUAAUCUAACGAGGUUAGAUUUUAAAAGGGAAGUUUGGUGAAAAUCCAACGCGGUCCCGCCACUGUGAAUGAGGAGGUUAUUUCAUAAAACCCACUGUUUCUAUAUGGGAAGGGGGAAAUAACCGUCGAUUCAUGAGCCAGGAGACCUGCCUGUUCUGACGCACCAUAA
rnacentral:ncRNA from 23 species